GACGAACCGUGCGAACGUUGUUCGGAAUCACUGGGCUUAAAGGGCGCGUAGGCGGGUCAGCAAGUCCGGGGUGAAAUCUUUCGGCUCAACCGGAAAAGUGCCUCGGAUACUGCUGGUCUUGAGGGAGGUAGGGGUUUGUGGAACUUCUGGUGGAGCGGUGAAAUGCGUUGAUAUCAGAAGGAACGCCGGUGGCGAAAGCGACGAACUGGACCUCUUCUGACGCUGAGGCGCGAAAGCCAGGGGAGCAAACGGG
rnacentral:rRNA from 1 species